GUAGGUGGCAAGCGUUGUCCGGAAUUAUUGGGCGUAAAGCGCGCGCAGGCGGUUUUUUAAGUCUGAUGUGAAAGCCCACGGCUCAACCGUGGAGGGUCAUUGGCAACUGGAGAACUUGAGUACAGAAGAGGAAAGCGGAAUUCCACGUGUAGCGGUGAAAUGCGUAGAGAUGUGGAGGAACACCAGUGGCGAAGGCGGCUUUCUGGUCUGUAACUGGCGCUGAGGCGCGAAAGCGUGGGGGAGCAAACAGGAUUAGAUACCCUGGUAGUCCACGCCGUAAACGAUGAGUGCUAAGUGUUAGGGGGUUUCCGCCCCUUAGUGCUGCAGCUAACGCAUUAAGCACUCCGCCUGGGAGUACGGCCGCAAGGCUG
rnacentral:rRNA from 1 species